GAUGAACGCUGGCGGCGUGCUUAACACAUGCAAGUCGAACGAAGCACUUUAACCUGAUUCUUCGGAUGAAGGUUUUUGUGCCUGAGUGGCGGACGGGUGAGUAACGCGUGGGUAACCUGCCUCAUACAGGGGGAUAACAGUUAGAAAUGACUGCUAAUACCGCAUAAGACCACAGAGCCGCAUGGCUCGGUGGGAAAAACUCCGGUGGUAUGAGAUGGACCCGCGUCUGAUUAGGUAGUUGGUGGGGUAACGGCCUACCAAGCCAACGAUCAGUAGCCGACCUGAGAGGGUGACCGGCCACAUUGGGACUGAGACACGGCACAAACUCCUACGGGAGGCAGCAGUGGGGAAUAUUGCACAAUGGGGGAAACCCUGAUGCAGCGACGCCGCGUGAGCGAAGAAGUAUUUCGGUAUGUAAAGCUCUAUCAGCAGGGAAGAAAAUGACGGUACCUGACUAAGAAGCACCGGCUAAAUACGUG
rnacentral:rRNA from 1 species